rnacentral:lncRNA from 1 species
GAUCCGGCGGGACCGCCACCUAUCACUGCUGCUCGGAGCUUUCGGCCGGAGAUGGAUUUGGAAGCUGAGACGGUGAAGGAUUUGAAGUAAGGUUUGGGUUUUGAGGUUGGAAUGGAGAAUGAAGGUAAACCAAAACUGGUUUGAAUUUUGGCAGCCAUGGAGAAUGACGAAAUGAGUUUGGAAUCAGUACCUGUAAAUUAGGAAUUAGGGUUUAUCACUUUACUCCUCCAAGAAUAUAGUAUUUUAAUGCAUACUUUAAAUCGAUUUCAGAGGUAAAUACAAAUGAUGUCAGCACCAGAUUCCAUCAUGGUAUGGCAUUGUAAUAAAAAAUUGUUUUCAAGAUAUACGGUCCUAUUUCUUUAUCUUUCCACUACAGGUGGGGUUAGCAUCAGCUUUGCAAGUUGUGUGUUUGAUUUUUUACUGCUAUGCAUGUGUUCAAACAGAGUGUAUAUAUCACAGCUACUUCUAAGUGUUCUGAAACUUUAGUAAGUUUUAUAACAUGAUCAAUAGGAAAUGCUAGACUUUGAUGCUAGCUAGUUCAUGGAUACUGAUAGGGCGACAAAGAUCAGGAAUUGUUUGGCCAGACCAGGCUGCAUCAGCUAGGAUUUUGUUAACUGCUUGUGUAGGGUUAAACAAAUCCCACCAAACAUGAGUUGAAGCUUGAUCACAGGCCAUGUCCAUGGAGAUGCAC